rnacentral:lncRNA from 1 species
UUUCUUUGCCGAUGUCAAGAAAAUAGCUAUACUGGGAAAAAUGAAAGAAAAAAGGAACAUUGAAACUUAUUUUUCCAAGUUCCUCCUUUAUAACUUCAUGACCAGAAUUCUGGGGUAUUGCAUUACUGCCAACUAGAUUACCUCUCAUGACACAGUUAUAAACAAUGACAAGAACAGAAACUAAAAGGUUAUCUGAGAAAAUGUCUAUACUUCUGCAUAUUUCACCCUCUUGAUUUUGAUUUGCACAACUCUGUUGUUUAUGCAGAGCUCAUUCAGUGAAUUUAAGUAUAACCUUCCAUUUCUCCUCAGUUCUGCUGUCUUUGAAAAAAUUUAUAUAACCUACAUUCUUGAUGAAUCUGAUCUGGUUCAUGUCAUUAAUAUUACUUCUCUUCACCAUGGUUAUCUUGUAUACAUUCUUGUCACUCUCUUGAGGGCCCCACCUGGCAUAUCCUAACAUACGAGUACAUAACAUUGGUCACAUGGUAAACAUUAAGAAAUUUUAGAGCUCCUUGGUCA